rnacentral:rRNA from 2 species
CCGUGGUAAUUCUAGAGCUAAUACAUGCUAAAAACCCCGACUUCGGAAGGGGUGUGUUUAUUAGAUAAAAAACCAAUGCCCUUCGGGGCUCUUUGGUGAUUCAUGAUAACCUAACGGAUCGCAUGGCCUUGUGCCGGCGACGGUUCAUUCAAAUUUCUGCCCUAUCAACUUUCGAUGGUAAGGUAUUGGCUUACCAUGGUUUCAACGGGUAACGGGGAAUUAGGGUUCGAUUCCGGAGAGGGAGCCUGAGAAACGGCUACCACAUCCAAGGAAGGCAGCAGGCGCGCAAAUUACCCAAUCCCGACACGGGGAGGUAGUGACAAUAAAUACUGAUACAUGGCUCUUUAGAGUCUUGUAAUCGGAAUGAGUACAAUUUAAACCCCUUAACGAGGAACAAUUGGAGGGCAAGUCUGGUGCCAGCAGCCGCGGUAAUUCCAGCUCCAAUAGCGUAUAUUAAAGUUGUUGCAGUUAAAAAGCUCGUAGUUGAAACUUGGGUCUGGCUAGCGGGUCCGCCUCACCGCGUGCACUUGUCCGGCUGGACCUUUCCUUCUGGAGAACCUCAUGCCCUUCACUGGGUGUGUUGGGGAACCAGGACUUUUACUUUGAAAAAAUUAGAGUGUUCAAAGCAGGCCUUUGCUCGAAUACGUUAGCAUGGAAUAAUAGAAUAGGACGUGCGGUCCUAUUUUGUUGGUUUCUAGGAUCGCCGUAAUGAUUAAUAGGGAUAGUCGGGGGCAUCAGUAUUCAAUUGUCAGAGGUGAAAUUCUUGGAUUUAUUGAAGACUAACUACUGCGAAAGCAUUUGCCAAGGAUGUUUUCAUUAAUCAGUGAACGAAAGUUAGGGGAUCGAAGACGAUCAGAUACCGUCGUAGUCUUAACCGUAAACUAUGCCGACUAGGGAUCGGGCGAUGUUUCUAUCUUGACUCGCUCGGCACCUUA